AUGGAUGCAGCGGGACAGGGAGGAGCGGUUGGCUGGGACAGCGGCUUCGGCUUCCAGGCAGGGGCUGCACAGGCCGGGAGCCAAGGUCAGCCAUGGCUCCUUUGCUCCGCGGCCUUGGAAGAGCCACCCCCUCCUCCCGGGGCCUCCUGCGGGCCCUGGACGCCGCCGGGACCUAGAACCGGGCCGCUGGGGCAUUCUGAGGGCGUCUGGGGCACAUGGUUCGAGGGAGGCAGGGGAGGAGGGGAGGAGGGGGGAAGAGGGAGGGGGAAGCGGGGGCAGGGGCGCAGGGGGGCGGGGAUGGUGAGGAUGGGGGUGCGCAGGGGGACGGGAGGGGGAUGGGGCAGGGGGAGGGGGAACAGGCAGUGGGGCAAGGGGCGGGGAUGGCGGGGGGGGGGGGCCGGGCGGGGAUGGUGGGGGGGGCAGGAGAGGGAGGAAGAGGAAGCAGGGGGAGGGGGAACAGGCGGCGGGGCGCGGGGCGGGGAUGACGGGGGGGGGGCCCGGGAUGGUGAGGAUGGGGGCAGGGGGACGGGGGGGGGGGACGGGAUGGUGAGGAUGGGGCAGGGGGACGGGCGGGGCGGGGGCAGAGGGGAAGCAGGUGGUGGGGAUGGCGAGGAGGGGGGAGGAGGAGGGGUGGGGGUAACAGGCGGCGGGGCGCGGGGCAGGGGCGCGAGGUGGGGAUGGCGGGGCGGGGGUGCAGGGUGCAGCGGGCGCGGGGGGGUGGUGAGGAUGGGGGCAGGGGAGGGGGAAGCAGGGGGGAGGGGAGGGGGAAGCAGGCGGUGGGGGGAUGGCGAGGAUGGGGGCAGGGGGACGGGGACGGGGGCAGGGGGAAGCAGGUGGCGGGGAUGGCGAGGAGGGGGCGGGGGAAGCAGGGGGAGGGGCGGGCGGGGGCGCGGAGCGGGAUGGCGGGGCAGGGGCGGGGGCGCGGGGGGGCGGGUGCCGAGGGGCCGCGCGCUCCCCGCCGCCGGGCCGCUCUCCUCCGCCGCCGCCGCCGCCGCCGCCGCCUCCCCUCCCGGGCACGAGCCUCGGGCCCGCCCGCCCCCGCCCUCCGAGGCCUCGGCAGCCGGCUCCGCCCGCCCGCAGCGGGGUCUCGGCCGCCGCCGCUCCCUCCCUCCCGCGCCCCUGCAGCGGCGUCUCCGGCCCGCGGUCCGCAGCAAGCCCGAGGCGGGUAAGGCGGGGCGGAGGCGGCGCGAGGGCCCGGGGCCCGGGGAGGGUGGCGGAGGGUCGGGGAGGGUCGCGCCGCCGCCGGUCCCCGCGGCCCGAUGGGGCCCAGCGAGCGGCCCGGCCCGGCCCCGGGCUCCGCGGCGGUGGGGGGAGCGGACGGCCCCCGGGUCCCGGGCUGCGGGGCGGGGCCUGCACCGGGUCACGGCGCGCGUGUCCGCGCCGCCUGCGAGGCCAGAACGCCCUGCUCCGCCCCGGAGGGUCCGGGGGAGACGCACACCUGGUCUCCGCCACUGUGGCCUCGGGUCCUGCGGGGCCUGGAUGGGUGGUCCCGGGGCGGCCCAGGCGGCGGGGCCCAGCGCAGGUGCUCACCCCCCCCUCCCCCAUUCUUUGCUCCCGCUCCACCCCCGGGCACAGAAUAACCCCUGUCAUUCUCCAACUCACCCCUUCCUCCUUCCUGAACGGGACCCCACCCUCUCCCCAGGCCGCCUAACCCUCCCCCACCCGCGGGCCCCAGCCGUCCCACCCUGA
rnacentral:lncRNA from 1 species